GUAUGACGAGAUGAUUAAUGAUUAAUUUCUCUAUUCAUUUGAUUGGCCAACAUGAUAGCCUAAAUACUAAAUCGAAUCUGAUCAUAA
rfam:Triticum aestivum genome assembly, contig: Triticum_aestivum_CS42_TGACv1_scaffold_576840_7BL